UAUUUCUGUGGGAUCGGUGGUGAUAUCCCCUUUACCAUUUUUUAUUCCCUCUAUUUGAUUCUUCUCUCUUUUCUUCUUUAUUAGUCUUGCUAGCAGUGUAUCUAUUUUGUUGAUCUUUUUGAAAAACCAGCUCCUGGAUUCAUUGAUUUUUUGAAGAGUUGUGUCUCUAUCUCCUUCAGUUCUGCUCUGAUCUUAGUUAUUUCUUGCCUUCUGCUAGCUUUUGAAUUUGUUUGCUCUUGCUUCUGUAGUUCUUUUAAUUGUGAUGUUAAGGUGUCGAUUUUAGCUCUUUCCUGCUUUCUCUUGUGGGCAUUUAGUGCUAUAAAUUUCCCUCUACACACUGCCUUAAAUAUGUCCCAGAGAUUCUGGUAUGCUGUGUCUUUGUUCUCGUUGGUUUCAAAGAACAUCUUUAUAUCUGUCUUCAUUUCAUUAUUUACCCAGUAGUCAUUCAGGAGCAGGUUGUUCAAUUUCCAUGAAGUUGUGCGGUUUUGAGUGAGUUUCUUAGUCCUGAGUUCUAAUUUGAUUGCACUGUGCUCUGAGAGCCAGUUUGUUGUGAUAUCUGUUCUUUUACGUUUGGUGAGAAGUGCUUUACUUCUAUGUGGUCUAUUUUGGAAUAAGUGUGAUGUCGUGCUGAGAAGAAUGUAUAUUCUGUUGAUUUGGGGUGGAGGGUUCUGUAGAUGUCUAUUAGGUUCACAUGGUGCAGAGCUGAGUUCAUGUCCUGGAUAUCCUUGUUAACCUUCUGUCUCAUUGAUCUGUCUAUUAUUGACAGAGAGGUGUUAAAGUCUCCCAUUAUUAUUGUGUGGGAGUCUAAGUCUCUUUAUAGGUCUCUAAGGACUUGCUUUAUGAAUCUUGGUGCUGCUGUAUUGGGUACCUAUAUAUUUAGUAUAGUUAGCUCUUCUUGCCCAGUUGAUCCUUUUACCAUUAUGUAAUGGCCUUUUUUGUCUCUUUUGAUCUUUGUUGGCUUAAAGUCUUUUUUUUCAGAGACCGGGAUUGCAACUCCUGCUUUUUUUUUUUUUUUUUUUUUUUUUUUUUUUUUUGCUUUCCCUUUGCUUGGUAGAUCUUCCUCCAUCCCUUUAUUUUGAGCCCAUGUGUUUCUCUGCACAUGAGAUUGGUCUCCUGAAUACAGCACAGUGAUGGGUCUUCAAUCUUUAUCCAAUUUGCCAGUUUGUGUUUUUUAAUUGGGGCAUUCAUCCCAUUUACAUUUAAGGUUAAUAUUGUUAUGUGUGAAUUUGAACCUGUUAUUAUGAUGUUAGCUGGUUAUUUUGCCCGUUAGUUGAUGCUGUUUCUUCCUAUCAUCGAUGGUCUUUACAAUUUGGUAUGUUUUUGCAGUGGCUGCUACUGGUUGUUCCUUUCCAUGUUUAGUGCUUCCUUCAGGAGAUCUUGUAAGGCAGGCCUGGUAAUGACAAAAUCUCUCAGCAUUUGCUUGUCUGUAAAGGAUUUUAUUUCUCCUUCACUUAUGAAGCUUAGUGUGGCUGGAUAUGAAAUUCUGGGUUGAAAAGUCUUUUUCUCUAAGAAUGUUGAAUAUUGGCCUCCACUCUCUUCUGGCUUGUAGAGUUUCUGCUGAGAGAUCCGCUGUUAGUCUGAUGGGCUUCCCUUUGUGGGCAACCCGACAUUUCUCUCUGGCUGCCCUUAACAUUUUUUUCCUUCAUUUCAACCUUGGUGAAUAUGACAAUUACGUGUCUUGGGGUUGCUCUUCUCGAGGAGUAUCUUUGUGGAGUUCUCUGUAUUUCCUGAAUUUGAAUGUUGGCCUGCCUUGGUAGGUCGGGGAAGUUCUCCUGGAUAAUAUCCUGAAGAGUGUUUUCCAGCUUGGUUCCAUUCUCCCCGUCACUUUCAGGUACAACAAUCAAAUGUAGAUUUGGUCUUUUCACAUAGUCCUGUAUUUCUUGUAGGCUUUAUCUUGUUGCUUUUUACUCUUUUUUCUCUAAACUUCUCCUCUCGCUUUAUUUCAUUAAUUUGAUCUUCAAUCACUGAUACCCUUUCUUCCACUUGAUCAAGUCGGCUAGUGAAGCUUGUGCAUGCGUCCUGUAGUUCUCAUGCCAUGGUUUUCAGCUCCAUCAGGUCAUUUAAGGUCUUCUCUACACUGUUUAUUGUAGUUAGCCAUUGGUCUAAUCUUUUUUCAAGGUUUUUAGCUUCCUUGCGAUGGGUUUGAACAUCCUCCUUUAGCUUGGAGAAGUUUGUUAUUACCAACCUUCUGAAGCCUACUUCUGUCAGCUCGUCAAAGUCAUUCUCCAUCCAGCUGGCAAGGAGCUGCAAUCCUUUGGAGGAGAAGAGGCCCUCUGGUUUUUAGAAUUUUCAGCUUUUCUGCUCUGGUUUCUCCCCAUCUUUGUGGUUUUAUCUACUUUUGGUCUUUGGUGCUGGUAACCUACAGAUGGGGUUUUGGUGUGGAUGCCCUUUUUGUUGAUGUUGAUGCUAUUCCUUUCUGUUUGUUAGUUUUCUUUCUAACAGUCAGGUCCCUCAGCUGCAGGUCUCUUGGAGUUUGCUGGAGGUCCACUCCAGACUCUGUUUGCCUCGGUAUCUGCAGUGGAGGCUGCAGAACAGCAAAUAUUGCAGAACAGCCAAUGUUGCUGCCUGAUCCUUCCUCUGGAAGCUUCGUCCCAGACAGGCACCCACCUGUAUGAGGUGUCAGUUGGCCUCUACUGGGAGGUGUCUCCCACUUAGGCUACAGAAGCAUCAGGGAUCCACCUGAGGCAGUCUGUCCAUUGUCAGAGCUCAAACACCAUGCUGGUAGAAACACUGCUCUCUUCAGAGCUGUCAGACAGGGACGUUUAAGUCUGCAGAAGUUUCUGCUGCCUUUUCAGCUAUGCCCUGCCCCCAGAGGUGUGGUCUACAAAGGCAGCAGGCCUUGCAGAGCUGUGGUGGGCUCCACCCAGUUCGAGCUUCCCUGGCCACUUUGUUUACCUACUCAAGCCUCAGCAAUGGCGGACGCCCCUCCGCCUGCCAGGCUGCUGCCUCACGGGUGGAUCUUAGGCUGCUGUGCUAGCAGUGAGCAGGGCUCCGUGGGUGUGGGACCUGCCAAGCCAGACAUGGGAUAUAAUCUCCUGGUGUGCCAUUUGGUAAGACUGUUGGAAAAGCACAGUAUUUGGGCAAAAGUGUCCUGAUUUUCCAGGUACAGUCUGUCAUGGCUUCCCUUGGCUGGGAAAGGGAAAUCCCCUGACCCCUUGUGCUUCCUGGGUGAGGUGAUGCCCCGCCCUGCUUCAACUUGCCCUCUGUGGGCUGCACCCCCUGUCCAACCAGUCCCGAUGAGAUGAACCAGGUACCUCAGUUGGAAAUGCGGAAAUCACCAUCUUCUGCGUC
rnacentral:lncRNA from 1 species